rnacentral:pre_miRNA from 1 species
UAUCUACUCCUUCCGUCCGAAAAUACUUGUCAUCAAAAUGGAUAAAAAGGGAUGUAUCUAGAACUAAAAUACAUCUAGAUACAUCCCCUUUUAUUCAUUUUGAUGACAAGUAUUUCCGGACGGAGGAAAUAUUAA